AUAAGAGGUCCCGCCUGCCCUGUGACUAUAUGUUUAACGGCCGCGGUAUUUUGACCGUGCGAAGGUAGCGCAAUCACUUGUCUUUUAAAUGGAGACCUGUAUGAAUGGCACCACGAGGGCUUAGCUGUCUCCCUCUCCCAGUCAAUGAAAUUGAUCUCUCCGUGCAGAAGCGGGGAUAAAAACAUAAGACGAGAAGACCCUAUGGAGCUUAAGACGCCAGGACAGCUCACGUUAAACACCUCCAAAUAAAGGAAAUAACCAAGUGAAUCCUGCCCUAGUGUCUUUGGUUGGGGCGACCGCGGGGAAAAAUAAAACCCCCAUGUGGAAUAGAAAUACAUAUUUCUAAAUCCAAGAGCUCCCGCUCUAAUAAACAGAACUUCUGACCAACAAGAUCCGGCAAUGCCGAUCAACGGACCGAGUUACCCUAGGGAUAACAGCGCAAUCCCCUUAAAGAGCCCUUAUCGACAAGGGGGUUUACGACCUCGAUGUUGGAUCAGGACAUCCUAAUGGUGCAGCC
rnacentral:rRNA from 1 species